UACGUAGGGCGCAAGCGUUGUCCGGAAUUAUUGGGCGUAAAGAGCUCGUAGGCGGCUUGUCACGUCGGGUGUGAAAGCCCGGGGCUUAACCCCGGGUCUGCAUUCGAUACUGGCAGGCUAGAGUGCGGUAGAGGGUAGUGGAAUUCCCGGUGUAGCGGUGAAAUGCGCAGAUAUCAGGAGGAACACCGGUGGCGAAGGCGGGUCUCUGGGCCGAUACUGACGCUGAGGAGCGAAAGCGUGGGGAGCGAACAGG
rnacentral:rRNA from 1 species